rnacentral:tRNA from 1 species
UAUGAGAAAGUGUUUUAGCACGUAGGUCUUUGAAACCUAAAGAUGGAGAAUAAUUCCCAACUCAUAAAU